rnacentral:rRNA from 1 species
UAUAGUAGCGAAGUUCCUGAUUCCACACUGCCAAGAAAAGCCUCUAGCGAGGUGAGAGGUGCCCGUACCGCAAACCGUCACAGGUAGGCGAGGAGAGAAUCCUAAGGUGAUCGAGAGAACUCUCGUUAAGGAACUCGGCAAAAUGACCCCGUAACUUCGGGAGAAGGGGUGCUCUGUUAGGGUGCAAGCCCGAGAGAGCCGCAGUGAAUAGGCCCAGGCGACUGUUUAGCAAAAACACAGGUCUCUGCGAAGCCGUAAGGCGAAGUAUAGGGGCUGACGCCUGCCCGGUGCUGGAAGGUUAAGAGGAGCGCUUAGCGUAAGCGAAGGUGCGAAUUGAAGCCCCAGUAAAC